CCUACGGGAGGCAGCAGUGGGGAAUAUUGCACAAUGGGGGAAACCCUGAUGCAGCGACGCCGCGUGAGCGAUGAAGUAUUUCGGUAUGUAAAGCUCUAUCAGCAGGGAAGAAAAUGACGGUACCUGACUAAGAAGCCCCGUCUAACUACGGGCCAGCAGCCGCGGUAAUACGUAGGGGGCAAGCGUUAUCCGGAUUUACUGGGUGUAAAGGGAGCGUAGACGGUCCUGCAAGCCAGAGGUGAAAGCCCGGGGCUCAACCCCGGGACUGCAUUUGGAACUGUAAGGCUAGAGUGUAGGAGAGGUAGGCGGAAUGCCUAGUGUAGCGGUGAAAUGCGUAGAGAGUAGGAGGAACACUAGUGGCGAAGGCGGCCUGCUGGACGAUGACUGACGUUGAGGCUCGAAAGCGUGGGGAGCAAACAGGAUUAGAUACCCUUGUAGUC
rnacentral:rRNA from 1 species